rnacentral:tRNA from 1 species
GAAAUUUAGGUUAAGUAGACCAAGAGCCUUCAAAGCUCUAAGAAAGUAUAUAAUACUUAAUUUCU